GGGGGUGUAGCUCAGUGGCAGAGUGUUUAACUGCAAAUUAAGUGGUCCUUGGCUCAAAUCCAAGUCCCCCCU
rfam:Pelodiscus sinensis unplaced genomic scaffold scaffold5015, whole genome shotgun sequence.